rnacentral:rRNA from 1 species
UACGUAGGGUGCAAGCGUUAAUCGGAAUUACUGGGCGUAAAGCGUGCGCAGGCGGCUUUGCAAGACAGAUGUGAAAUCCCCGGGCUUAACCUGGGAACUGCAUUUGUGGACUGCAUGGCUGGAGUGCGGCAGAGGGGAUGGAAUUCCGCGUGGAGCAGUGAAAUGCGUAGAGUAUGCGGAGGAACACCGAUGGCGAAGGCAAUCCCCUGGGCCUGCACUGACGCUCAUGCACGAAAGCGUGGGGAGCAAACAGGAUAGAA